UAUACACUUUCACACAUCUCUCUCGCCUCUUUCCCCCUUGACAUGUAACCUCACACUUAUGUGAGACAAGUCGUGAAUGUUAAUACAAUAUACUUCUCCAUUUUUAAUACGGAUUUCUAUUUUCCUACACAAUGCACAAAACUGAUUUUCAUCAUAUGAAUGUGAUAAGUGUAUUUGUAAAUAGGAGUACAUAUCUGAUGAUCCUUUUGAACAUGUGUGUAAUAUAUGUGCGUAUGAAAUUUAUUUCAUUUAUAAAGAAUAUUAAGAAAAAUAUGUUAUUCAGAUAAUUUAGAGGAUGACGAUGUGUACAUGUUAGUAUUAGUCAAAUCAGCAUCAGAGACAAACUCGUUUCAAUAUUGUUUAAUUAUCUGUGGUGAGGACAGUGAAAAGUCUUACCUGCAUCUGCAGCAACAUGUACCCUACACGGGAUGCAGAUGUCGACACGAGUAAUUGUAUCUGCAGCACAUGACACAAUAUACUCCCCACACUGUUUGAAUAUGCCGACACGAGU